rnacentral:tRNA from 1 species
UGGGGUAUAGCUCAGUGGUAGAGCAUUAGCUUAGCAUGGGUGAGGUCCUGGGUUUAAUCCCCAGUACCUCCA